rnacentral:rRNA from 1 species
UACGUAGGGUGCAAGCGUUAAUCGGAAUUACUGGGCGUAAAGCGUGCGCAGGCGGCGGUGCAAGACUGGUGUGAAAUCCCCGGGCUUAACCUGGGAACUGCAUUUGUGACUGCAUCGCUGGAGUGCGGCAGAGGGGGAUGGAAUUCCGCGUGUAGCAGUGAAAUGCGUAGAUAUGCGGAGGAACACCGAUGGCGAAGGCAAUCCCCUGGGCCUGCACUGACGCUCAUGCACGAAAGCGUGGGGAGCGAACAGG